rnacentral:rRNA from 1 species
CUUGAGCACGUAGGUGGUUUGUAAAGUCAGAUGUGAAAGCCUUCUGUUCAACGGAAGAAUUGCAUCUGAAACUACAAGUCUUGAGUGUAGGAGGGGAGAAUGGAACUUCUGGUGGAGCGGUGAAAUCCGUAGAUAUCAGAAGGAACGCCGGCGGCGAAAGCGAUUCUCUGGCCUAUUACUGACACUCAGUGUGCGAAAGCUAGGGGAGCAAACGGGAUUAGAUACCCCGGUAGUCCUAGCCGUAAACGAUGGGCACUAAGUAGAGGGGAUUACCGACGUUCUCUCUGCCGUAGCUAACGCAUUAAGUGCCCCGCCUGGGGAGUACGGCCGCAAGGCUAAAACUCAAAAGAAUUGACGGGGGCUCGCACAAGCGGUGGAGCAUGUGGCUUAAUUCGAUGCAACGCGAAGAACCUUACCGGGGCUUGACAUGGUAGAAGUAGGAACCCGAAAGGGUAACGAACGGUAUCCAGUCCGUGACUAUCACAGGUGUUGCAUGGCUGUCGUCAGCUCGUGUCGUGAGACGUUGGGUUAAGUCCCCUAACGAGCGAAACCCUUGUUUUUAGUUACCAGCGGGUUAUGCCGGGUACUCUAGAAAGACUGCCGUCGUCAAGACGGAGGAAGGUGGGGAUGACGUCAAGUCAUCAUGGCCCUUAUGCCCCGGGCUGCACACGUGCUACAAUGGGCGGUACAAACGGAAGCGAAGCCGAGAGGUGAAGCGAAUCCAAGC